CUAAGUUUGAUGGCGACCGGCGCACGGGUGAGUAACACGUAUCCAACCUGCCGAUGACUCGGGGAUAGCCUUUCGAAAGAAAGAUUAAUACCCGAUGGCAUAGUUCUUCCGCAUGGUAGAACUAUUAAAGAAUUUCGGUCAUCGAUGGGGAUGCGUUCCAUUAGGUUGUUGGCGGGGUAACGGCCCACCAAGCCUUCGAUGGAUAGGGGUUCUGAGAGGAAGGUCCCCCACAUUGGAACCGAGACACGGUCCAAACUCCUACGGGAGGCAGCAUG
rnacentral:rRNA from 1 species